rnacentral:rRNA from 1 species
CGUAAAGAAUAUUCCGCAAUGGGAAGGAAACUCUGACGGAGCAACGCCGCGUGGACGAUGAAGGCCGGAAGGUUGUAAAGUCCUUUUAUAAUUGAGGAAUAAGCGGGACAGGGAAUGGUUCCGCGGUGACUGUAGAUUAUGAAUAAGCACCGGCUAAUUACGUGCCAGCAGCCGCGGUAACACGUAAGGUGCGAGCGUUAUUCGGAAUUAUUGGGCGUAAAGGGCACGCAGGCGGCUUUGCAAGCUUGGUGUGAAAUCUCAGGGCUCAACCCUGAAACUGCAUUGAGAACUGCAUGGCUAGAGUUAGUGAGGGGAAACCGGAAUUCCAGGU